CUCUUGUAGACCAGGCUAGUCUC
rnacentral:piRNA from 1 species